AUUGAACGCUGGCGGCAGGCCUAACACAUGCAAGUCGAACGAGUGGCGGACGGGUGAGUAAUGUCUGGGAAACUGCCUGAUGGAGGGGGAUAACUACUGGAAACGGUAGCUAAUACCGCAUACCAUCGGAUGUGCCCAGAUGGGAUUAGCUAGUAGGUGGGGUAAAGGCUCUCCUAGGCGACGAUCCCUAGCUGGUCUGAGCGGAUGACCAGCCACACUGGAACGGCGACACGGUCCAGCAGCUCACGGUGGGACGCAGGGUGGAAUAUUGCACAAUGGGCGCAAGCCUGAUGCAGCCAUGCCGCGUGUAUGAAGAAGGCCUUCGGGUUGUAAAGUACUUUCAGCGGGGAGGCGUUACCCGCAGAAGAAGCACCGGCUAACUCCGGGCCAGCCGCCGCGGUAAUUC
rnacentral:rRNA from 1 species